UAAACAAUUUUGUGUCAGAAGUUGGCUGGGAUUUAAUAUUUGACCUGAAUGUUUUUCUGCGUAAAGAUGGACAUUGGGAUCCAACUAACGCCAUAGAACUGUUAAAAUAUACGAUAGAAAAGGGUUACAGGCUAGCCGGUUAUGAACUUGGAAAUGAACUGGAUGUUUUCCCUGACUCUCCUAUUAAUGCGACAGAAGUGGCCCCAGAUUUUGCACAACUGAAGAAGCUCCUGUUAUCUAUGCCUGAACUCGCGCCUUUCUUUAUUCUGGGAACUGAUGUAGGCUCAGUAGGCAGUGGGUCAAUAACUUUUAUGACUGAGUUUUUUGAGGCUGGAGGAGGCGCGUCUAUCGAUGUAGCCACGUUUCA